rnacentral:lncRNA from 1 species
AAGAACCAAAAUCGGAACAAUAUUAGACUACUCAGUUGCGCCCUAACAGUAUAACAUUGCAACGAGUACUUUUUCUCAUUCAAUCGAAAAAAGUAUAAAAGCUAAUUAUAUCGUUCUAUUAUGCCUCUGGAGUGUAAAUUUGGAACAAAUCGUUGUCAACCUUCACAAGAACCAAAACCGGAACAACAUUAGACUUCUCAGUUGCGCCCUAGACAGCAUAAACUUCGCAUAACGAUACACUUUUUUCUCAUCCAAUCGAACAAAAGUAAAAGCUUAAAUGUUCUAAUCCGUCGAGAGGUAAAUUUGAGAAAUAAUCAUGUCGAACGUUGACAAGAACAAACGAACACAUUGACUACUCAUUGUCGCCCUAACAUAUAACUUUGCAACGAUACUUUUCUCAAAUGUCAAUCGAACAAAGAGUAAAAGCUAAUUAUAUUUUACUAUAUGCCUCGAAUUGUACUUAAAAAAUCGUUCACCUUCACAAAACGUCUAAGACCGAGACAACAUUAGAUCCUGCUUAUAUCGCUCCUAGAACAGAUAACUUUGCAGACCAGUACUUUUCGCAUUCUACUCGAACAAAGAGAAAAGCUAAUUAUAAGUCCUAUCUAUGCCUCGAGAAGUUGAAAUUGAACGCUAAUCGAUUCAACCUUAAAAAAAAUCAACCGAACAAACAUUAACUAUCAGUUGUGCCCUAAAAAUAGUUUAAAUUGUUACAUACUUUUCUCAUCAACAAAAAAAAGAGUAAACUAAUUCAUAUUAUCCUAUUAUGCCCCGAGAGUGUAAAUUUGAAACAAAUUGAUGAACAACUCUUCACAAGACCAAAACCGAACAACAUUAGACCCACCCAGUUGCGCCUAACAAAAACUUUGCACGAUACUUUCCUCAUCCAAUCGAACAAAUAUAAACCCGUAAAUAGAGCCUAUUAUCCCGAGAGUGUAAAUGACCAAAUUGAUGUCAACCAUUACACAAAACCAAAAUCGUAACAACAUAACCACUCAUGCGCCUAACAUAUAACUUUGGCAACGAGUACCUUUUCUCAAUCAAUCGACAAAAGAUUAAAAGCCUAAUUCUAUUGUCUAAUAAUGCUCUGGAGCAAGUAAUGGUAAGUAAGCGGAUGCUUAUGUUCAGAAGUAUAAAAACUGAAUCAGACAUUAGACUACUCAGUCCCCCUAUAACGAUAGAAUUUGCAACGAGUACUUUUCCCAUUCACAUCGAACAAAGAAAUUCCUAUUACCUAUGAAAUUAUGGAAAACAAUUGAUGUCAACCUUACAUAAGAACCAUUGCCUAAAACCGGAAACAACAAAGACACCAGUUCGCCCUAAACACAGUAUAUGACUUUGCAACGAUACCGCCUUUCCAUCAAUCGAAUAAAGAUGUAAAACCUAAUAUAUGUGAUUCUGCCCCGAAUGCAAAUGGUUUAAGAACGAAUCGAUGUCAACGGUUGACAAGAUACCAAAACAGAACAACAUUGACUAGCUCACGGCGCCCUAAACAUUAUAACCUUGCAACGAGUACCGUUCUGUCAUAUCGAGACAAAGAGUAAAAUACUAAUUAUAUGUCUAGUUAUGCCCAGAAAUUGUAUUUACGCAACAAUCGAUUUUCAACGGAAAAAACCAAAACCGAACAUCACAUUGACUACUCAGUUCGCAUAAACAGUAUAACUUUACAACGAUACCUUCUCAUCAAUCGCAACAAAGGCGAUAAAGCUUUAAUUUUAUAGUUGCCUAUUAUCCCACAGUGUUAAUUUAGAACACGUAAUAGAUGUCCAAUAUUCGACAAAACUGCAAAAUCCGAACAACGUAGACACUUAUUGCGCCUAUCCAGUAUAGGUACUUUUCGAGAUAUGUCACGCCCAACCGCAUAACUAACCGAAAACAGUGCCAUUUGGUCAUUUCGAGGGCAGCGUGCGUGAUGCGGAACAGGACUGCAGUCCGUCGCUCUCGCCCAGGCUAAGCAACCUGAAUUGUGGUACAACAAGUCACCCAAGGAAAAACAACUUGCAGCAUACAAAUCAGCUACGAAAACGAAAGCACAAACAGAUGCUACAACCAACUAAGCAAGCGAUACAAUUAAACCAUAUCAAGAUAAAAAGAAGAAACGUUAAACUAUUGAAACAUUAUUGAAACAUUAACCUUUCGGAUAUCAUUAAACAUUUAAUCCUUAAUACAAAUCGGCAUCCUUCCCCAAAAUAAAUAUAACUCAAACUCCCAAAACUCACCCUAUACCAACAUCUACUCUCAUAGUGAACAAAAAGUACAGGUAGAGCAAUGCGAGUAAAAAUAAAAAUAACUACCAACCGCCACCCUUGCGCUAAGCCUUGCUCGCAUCCUCCAGCUCAUCGGGCGCCUUCCGAGCUAGUACCUCAACGAGGGUUAAACUACGAGAGUGCGCCAGUGGAUUCGUCCACAGCCGACUUGUGCAGGCUUGCCGCCAGAUUCUACUGCACAGAUUCUUUAAGCAGCAUAGAGAAUAUAUAUUAGUAAUAUCAUACUAAACUAAAACUGAACUAAACAGGUAAUGGAACGUAAUAUCACUAUCUCAAUCUAUAUCAUGAUGCAGAAGAAUAAUAAACUGGUAUUAACAUCUAGUAACAUCUAUCAACAGCUAUCAUAGUAACUAUAAUCUAAUCGACAGGAAGCAAAGGUAACAAAGAACAAUGAAAUAGCUACUAUAAUACAAUUAUGUAAACCAAUGGGUAACCCAUCUCGCAAGUAUAGCAAAUUAAACACAUAGGUCCACAACCAAAGCUUCACAUGAACCUCCGAGGGAAUGCCUACUGACAAUCCCAUAACCUGUGGAUAACAAGUCGGCAUCCGACUGCAGCAAGCUCGCUCCUGUCUAGUGACCCCCCUAACUCCGGAGCGCACGAACUUGAAGCGGACAAACCCAACCUACGCAAAGACAGGCAAGUGAGCAUGAUCAAGCUCCACGACAUAAACCUUUAGGGAAUAUACAAUACAUCAAUAACUCUUGACCCACUCAAUAUCCAACCAACACUAAUCUAGAUCAUCUCAAUAAACAAUCAAAACAUUGCCACUCCGUCAUAGUUUCUAAAGAUGCCACUCGUUCUUUAAACCAUCAACAAUAGUAAUCUAAACAUUAUAAGGUCUAAUCAUCUCAAUAGUUUGAAAAUCUCAUAAUUAAACUCGAAUCAUAUUAAUCCAUGCAUACAUUUAUAAAUCAUUCAAUCAACCAUAUCAUAGCUAAUAGCAGCAAAUGAAGCAAUAAAUUAAUCUUAACACCUAUAAGAACAUGUACAAUAUCAAUUCUGAUCAAUAUUUACAUACUAACUAGCCCUAUACUUCGAUGAGCACUCCCCCACCUUAGGUUAUCCGAAAACACUCCGAGACCGCUCUCGUCUAGCUCUGUCGCCGCGCUUAAUUUUGUUGGAUAGCAUUAAACCCUAAAAGCCACUUCGCAAAAAUAGGAUAUCUUCGCCGCGAUUUCGUAUCGACUAAUACCGCUUUCGUUCCUACGCAUUUAUCAAGGCAUAAAAAAUUAGGUUCAACCCCUCAAAAGAUCAACCCUAAUAUUAGCAAAAUUCCAAAAUCAAGCCCUAGUUUAGCACCCAUGGAAGGCAUGGGUCUAGCUUCAUUGUGAGCUAAACCAAUAUCUCUAAGCUCAUUAGUUCCAUUGAACCAUUUAAAUACGCAACCAAGACUCUCAUAAAACAACCCAAGAUACCAUGAAAGAGUUGAGGCUUACCUCUAGGUUUGCUCCAAAGCAAGCCUAACCAAGAAUGAAGGAGACGAAAAGAGCGUUCUUUCGUCUUCUCCUUGCUUUCUUAUUUCCUCCUUCCUUCCUUUUUCCUCCUCUUCUCUCUUCUCCUUCUUCUUCCGUUAGAAGAAGAGCAUGAGAGGAAAGAGCUGAUGAGUGAGAGGAAUGGCCGAGAAAGGAGGGUUAAGUCCUCUAUGUAAUAUAAGNNNNNNNNNNNNNNNNNNNNNNNNNCGACAACAUUAGACUACUCAGUUGCGCCCUAACAGUAUAACUUUGCAGGAGUACCUUUUUUCUCAUUCAAUCAAUAAAGUGUAAAAGCUAAUUAUAUUGUUCUAUUAUUCCUCGAGAUUGUUAACUUAGAACGAAUCGUUUUCAACCUUCACAAAGAACCAAGACGGAAAAACAUUAGACUGCUUAGUUGCGCCCACUAACAGUAUAAAAAAAAAUUGAUGCAACGUGUACUUUCUUCGUCAUUCAAUCGAAUUGAGAGCAAAAGCUAAUUAUAUUGUUCCUUUAAGCCUACGCGAGGGUAAAAUUGGAACUAAUCUUUGUCGAACCUUCACAAGCAACCAAAACCGGAACAAUAUUAGACUACUCAGUUGCGCCUAACGUAUAACUUUGAACGAGUACUUUAUUCUCAUCUAUCGGGAACAAAGAGUAAAAGCUAAUAUCUAUUGUUCUAUUAUGCACCUGAGAAUGUAAAUUGGAACGAAGUGAUGUCUAUUUUCAGGGAAGAUAGAAAACUGGAACAACAUUAGCUACUCAGUUGCGCAGCUAACGUAUAAAAUUUUGCAAGCGAGUACUUUUUCUCAUUCAAUCGAACAAAGGGAGUAAAGCUAAUUAUAUUGUUUCGUAUUAUGCCCCGAGAUUGCAUAAUUCUAGAACGAACGAUGUUUCAACGUUGAAAAGACACCAGAACUCCAAAACCACUAUUAGACUACUUCAGUUGCCCCCUAACAGUAUAACUUUGCAACGAGGUCUUUUUUCAUUCAAUCGAACCAAAGGAGUAAACGUAAUUAUAUUGGGUCUAUAUAUUCCGCCAGAGAGUGUUAAUUUAGAACGGAAUCGACUGUCGAAUGGUUGACAAGAACCAAAACGGAAACAACAUUAGACUACUCUGUUGCGCGCUAACAGUAUAACUUUGCAACGAUAUACUUUUCUCAUCAAUCGAAAAAGAGUAAAAGCUAAUUAUACUCGUUCGAUAUGCCUCUGGACUGUAAAUUUGGAACAAAUCGUUCUUCACCUUCAAAGAACCAAAAAUCGGAACAACAUUAGACUUCGAGUUGGCCGCCAAACGGGCAAAAUUUGCAACGAGUAACUUUUUCUCAUUCAAUCGAACAUAAGAGUAAAAGCUUACAUUAAAUUGGUUCUAUUAAUGCCUCGAGAGUGUAAACUUUGGAAAGAUAUGGAUGUCAACGUUGAACAAGAACAAAAAGCCGGAACAACUUAGAUUACUCAGUUGCGCCCUUAACAGUAUAACUUUGCAACGGAGUAGACUUUUUGUCUCAUUUCAAUCGAACAAGUGUAAAAGCUACAAUUAUAUUGUUCUAUUAUUCCUCCGAGAUUGUUACUUAAACGAUCGUUUUCAACCUUCACAAGAAUCAAACACACGGAAACAUCUAUGACUGCUUAGUUGCGCACCUAACGUAAUUAAAUUUGCAACGAGUACUUUUUCUCAUUCAAUCGAAUUAGAGAGCAAAAGUUUAAUCUAUAUUGUUCCUUUAAUGGGCCAGUCCGGGAGGGUAAAUUGGAACGAAUCGUUGUCAACCCUUCACAAGAAACCAAAACCGGAACCAAUAUUAGACUACUCAGUUGCGCUCCUAACAGUAUAACUUCGCAACGAGUACUUUUUCUCAUUAAUCGAACAAAGAGUAAAAGCUAAUUAUCUUAAUCUUUAUGCCAGGAUUGUUAACUUUAGACGAAUCGCCUGUUCCAAUGUUCACACGAACAACAAGGCCGGAACAACAUUAGACUUACUCAGUUGCGCACCCUAACAUAUAACCUUUGCAACCAUACUUACAUCUCUCCCUCAUUCUAUCGAACAUAAGAGUAAAAGCUGAACUGAAUAUAUUGUUCUACUACUGCCUCAGGAGAGUGUAAAUUUGGAACGGGAUCGAAUGCACCUUCACAAGAAUCAAAACCGGGACAACAUUAGACAAGUCAGUUGUGCCUAAUUAGUAUAAAUGUUUGUACGAGUACUUUUUCUCAUUACAAAUCUAAAAAAGAGUAAAAUCUUAAUUAAUAUAUUCUUAUUAUGCCAGCGAGAGUGCUAAAUUUGGAACAAAAAUUAUGGUCCAACCUUCACAAGAACCAAAAAACCGGAACAACAUUUAGACACUCAGUUGCGCCCGUAACCGGAUAUACUUUGAACGAGUACUUUUUCUCAAUCAAUCGACAAAAGAGUAAAACCUAUAAUUAUAAUAUGAUUCUAUAUGGCCGCCGGAGAGUGUAAAUUUGGAACAAAUUUGAUGUCAAACCUGUUCACAAGAACAAAAACCGGAACAAAUUAGAAAACUCAGUUGCGCCAUAACAGUAUAAGCUUUGCAACGAAGUACUUUUUUCAAAAUCAAUCGAACAAAGAGUAAAAAGCUAAUUCUAUUGUUCUAUGUUAUGCACUUGAGAAUGUAAAUUCGGAACAAGCGAGUGUCGUAUUUUCAGAAGAUAGACAAACUGGAACCAACAGUAGUUGUCACUGCCCGAGACCGCUCCCGAAAUUUUUGGUCCGGUUCGCGGGGCACCGCGACAGCCGCCGAACGGACGCGUUUCCCCUGUCGCGGAACAGGAGAGCUCCCCUGGUACGUUCCUAGGGCGUCGCCAAUCCAAAACAAGUGUCACAUUACAAAAGAUUCCAGACCAGGGAACAGUACUCAGCAAACAGAAUUGCAAUCAGGAACGGUAUCAGAUCCAACAGUUAAAAACACAAUACCUAAUGAUAUUUACGACAGCAUUCACAUUACGAUGCACAUUCAUUACAUUCAACUUCCUGAAUACCAAUUAAGUUAUUAAACAUUUAUUUUUUACAGACAUUGAUAAUUUUGCUGUGCUUUUUUUCUAUACCUAAGCUAGUCGACGCCGGGGUGCUGGCGAGCUCUGGCCUCUGGGGUAGGGCGCCUAUCUAAUGGGAGUACGCCCUUGCCAUCGGCGCCGCCGCGCCGCUCACGUCGCGAACCUUUAAACCCCAAAGAACAGGCGUGGGGGUGGAACCAACUCCAUGGGGUUUCCCAGUGCGGUUAAGCCACCCGAAGGGAGGAGCGUCGAACAACAGGUCCAAGGGAAGGCAAAUACAAGUUAGGUCCAAUAAGACAGAUAGAUAAAUGUAUACUCAUAAUAUUCAUGCAACUAACUAUUACACUUGGCGUUGUUGCCUCACAACUGCAAUGAUGCAUGCUAUUACCUGGCAACCAGGAACGGUUGGAACGCUGCGCCUAGUGAGAUGAUUAUGUUGAUUCUGACGAUUCAAUCUCGCUAAUCUUAAGCUCAUGUCAUCCAACUCUAAGGUGUUCCCGCUAACUGCUAGGUUAACAAUCUACCACUAGCCUCAAGGUUCUAUUCUACCUUAUUCCGUCAAGCCACCCGACUCGCCUCGAGUCCAAUCAACAGGGAUAAAUCCGCGCUCUGGCCCGGGCUCGAGGUGAGCAGGAAUCCUGUCGCAUUGCACCUCAGCCUGCAAGCCAAAGAAAGCCACCAUCGGCCAACGGUCCGCUGCCGAAGGGUCCGUGCACCGUGGUCAGGGAUUCGCGCCAGUGGGAGAAGGAAACAUAGCCACGUACACCCAUAGCUCUGAGAUCCCCGACUAACGGGAGAGGAGGAAUAUGCCACGUUCCACCCUAGGCGCAUCUCCCUAUUCAUUGCUUAGUCUAUAUUCCUCAAGUAGUUCUUUCCGGUGGGAAAGAGGAACAUCGCGGCAUUACACCGCCGGUCCAGAACUAUAUGAGUUCACUCCGAGUACUGAGAUUCCGGAUAUCGACUCCACAAGUCCGCAAGGGUCCAUAUCCACGCCUAAUACUCAUUGAACCCUAUCUUCGGGUCCAAUGCACUUUCCACCUAGUUCCAACUGCACUCUAGGAUCUUAAUUGCCUCCAUUUCACAACUAGUUUACUUUAACUCUAGGUUCCAUUCGUCGACCUAAUGUCUCUUUAACCACUAGGUAGACUGCCUGAAGCACUGAGAAUCGCCGACUCUUAGGAUUCAUACUCAACCUAUGUUCUUUAACACUAGGUUAGGUGACCCACUCGUUAUUUUAUCCUAGUUUAAAUACUCUAGAUGUCGAUGUAUCUAUGCCGACCUUGAUGUUAUGUAACCACUAGGGUUAAUGCCAACUCGAUCUACUUGAUGUCCUUACUUGUACUUAUCAAGGUAUUCUACAGUUCAUCACUAAUUAAUAUUUAGUAUCAACUACCAUGCAUCAUCUUGCAGUUUUAUCACAUGGACAAUGCACUUCUUAACAUUAUGUAUUAUGUCUAUCAUGGCCUCUCCUAGCAUCAUGUACCAUGCAAUUCAGCUAGACAAUGAGUAUUCUACAGCAUACUUAAUAUUCCAUGUAUUAUGGCACUAUAUUUCUCAUUACGUCACUAUGCAUUAAUCUAUUAUUGGCCUCAUUUACAUUCAUUAUGCACUCAACGGCUGGAUUCUUAAUCAUCUUAGACAUAAAGGGCGACCUAGCGCAUCAUCGGUAAACACAACCCCACCUUAAACUUCGCCGUUCCGGAGCUUGCUCGUCGACCCACUUGCAAUCGGUCCCUCCGCGGCACUCGGCACCCGUUUGGGCCCGAGUCUCACAGAUUGCUUUCAAGAGCGGUCGCUUCGCCCGUUUCAAGUCGCUAACGAUCUUGGCCGUAGUAUGAUGCUCGGGACCCAAUUUCACAAAUUCAUGGAACGUCGCCUCGGAACCAUUCCAGGCGGGGGACAACCGAAGCUAGCCAAGCGUCCGUUCUUCAAUAUGCUUUGCAAGCAGGCUCGUUCGGCAUUGCCGAAUCGUCUGUUCGCCAACGUGUCUUGUUACGUAAUCAAUUAGGUUUACGAAGGGGUCAAUCUGAGAUCAAACCCCACCUAUUUCUUAAAACCCCUUUGGCCCUAGUUCGCGGACUACGGCAACAAUACCUCCACAAUAAAUCCGUAGAUUCAUGCAUGUAACUCUACUCAUAAGCCAUGCUAGGCAUCGCAUCUAAAACCAAUUUCUUAGAGCGUUUAACCGAAACACCUAAGAAAUCACAUUAAAAGCUUGCAGAAGCUUACUCGCUAACGCCUCCUCGCGAAGCACAAGGAAGGAAUGAAGAAGAUGGAAGCUCUUCCUCUUCUUUCUUCUUCUCUUCCUCCUCUCGUUCUUCUUCUUCUUCUUUUCUUCUAUUGUUAUGGAGGGAGAUAGGAGGUGGGCGGUUGGGGUUGAAAGGUGAGGCGACAAGACGAGGAGGCGAGAGAGGCUUCUUACUCCUCAUCUAUACAACUGUAACCCAUGCAACCGGGAUUGGCAGGAAAACCUCAACAGACAAGCCACUCUGCUGCAAACACGCGGAACUGGGCAGUUUCGGGGUUCGGAACGGUGUGCUACAUGAGGGCCGAGUCUCUGGUGAGAUCGGUCUCCCUACCUGGACCGCGGUCCCCAGAGAGACCUCCCAGCCGGAGGACUUGCCAGUUUGUAGCUUCGUCGGUUUUCGCUCCGUUCUGGCCCCGUUUUCGUUGGAUUGACCUCCGAUCUCGUCUUAAUCGAACCGAGACCUCUCCACACAAUGUUAUUCGCAAAGCAUGUUUUCCAUACUUAUCCAUCCUCGCUAAGCCGGAUGUUUGUAGCUCACAGGCCGAAUUUUAGCCCAUUAGUCGGGUUCCCGUUUCCGCGCCUACGCGCACCGAAACGCAUCGAUAGCUCACCGAACUUCCACCAACUUACACCGAAGCCAUUCAACAAUGGCUCUUACGAUCGAGAUGUACACCAUAAAGCUCAACUAGUUUUAGAAGUCGGUACUGUACAAGUAAGACAUUACACAGUUGCGCCCCUCUAAACAGUAUAAUUUGCAACGGAGUACUUUUCUCAUUCAAUCGAAUAAAAGAGUUAAACGCUAAUUCAUAUUGUUUCUAUUAUGACCCGAGAUUGCUAAUUUAGAGACGAGCCAUCGGAUGUCGAAGCGUUGUGAAGAAGAGCCAAAUCCGGAACAACAUUAACUCUCAGUUGCGACCUAACAGCGUAUAACUUCGGCAAAGAUACUUUUUCUCAUUCAAUCGAACAAGAAGAGUAAAGAAGCUACAUUAUAUUGGGUAUCUAGUUGUAUCCGGGGAGAGUGUUAAUUUUGAACGACGAUCGAUGUCAAUGUUGACGAAGAACAAAAUAGUAAACAUAUUAGACCUACUCAGUUCGCUCCUAACAGUUAUAACGUUGCAACGGGAGUAUACUUUUUCUCAUUCAAUCGAAAAAGGUAUAAAAGCUAUUAUAAUCGUUCUAUUAUGCCUCUGGAGUGUAAAUUUGGAACAAAUCGUUGUCAACCUUCACAAGACCCAAAACCGGAACAAACAUUAGACUUCUCAGUUGCGCCCUAACAGCAUAAAUUUGCAACGAAGUACUUUUUCUCAUUCAUCCGAACAAAGAGUUAAAAAGCUAUUAAAUUGUUCUAUUUGCCUCGAGAGUGUAAUUUGGAAAGAAUCCGAUGUCAACGUUGCAAGAACAAAAACCGGAACAACAUUGGGACUCACUCAGUUGGCCCUAACAGUAUAACUUUGCAACGAGUACUUUUCUUUCAUUCAAUCGAACAAAAGAGUAAAGCUAAUUAUUAUUUUUCCAUUAUGCUCGGAGAUUGUUAACUUAGAACCGAAUCGUUGUUCAACCUUCACAAGACAAGAACACGGAAAAAAUUAAGACUGCUUAGUUGGCCCUACAGUAUAACUUUCCAACCAGUACUUUUUCGACAUUCUAAUCGAACAAAGAGUAAAAAGCUAAUCGUAUAUAGUAUCUACUAAUUGCCAGAGGAGUGAUAAAUUUGGAACGCAAAUCGAUGUCACUAUUUACAAAAAUCAAACACCGCGGAACAACAUUAGACUACGUCAGUCUUGCCUUAAUCAAUAGUAUAGAAUUUGUUACGAGUAACUUUUUCUCAUUCAAGAUCGACAAAAAAAGAGUAAAACUAAUUAUAUUAUUCUAUUAUGCCACCGGGAGUGUUAAAUUUAGGAACAAAUCUGGGAUUGGACAGACCUCUCACAAGAACCAAAAACCCGGAACAACAGUUAGACACUUCAGUUGCCGCCUAAUAGCUAUAACUUUUGCAACGAUACUUUUUUCCUAACUCAGAAGAUCGAACAAAGAGUAAAACCUGAAUUAUAUGAUUCAUACUUAAUGCGCGAGAGUGUAAAUUGGAAACAAAUUGAUGUCAACCUUACACAAGGAACCAAAAUACGGACAACAUUUAGACCACUCAGUUAGCGCACCUAACAGAUAAUAACUUUGGCAACGAGUACUUUUUCUCAAUCAUGCGAACAAAGAAGUUAAAAGCUAAUUCUAUGUGUUCUACUUAUGCUCUGAGAAUGUAAAAUUAAGGAAGGAAGCGAUGUCUAUGUUCAGAAGAUAGAAAAACUGGAACCACCACACCAUUAAGUACCUCAGUUGCGCGCCUUACCGUAUAAAUUUGCAAAGCGAGUCGUUUUUCUGCUUCAAUCGAACAAAGAGUUAAACAUGUUCUAUUAUGCCCCUUGAGAGUGAUAAAUUUGGAACGAAUGAUGUCAACCUUUACAAAGACACCAAAACCCGUAACACAAUAGACUAUCAGUUGCGCCUAACAGUAUAACUUUGCAACGGUACCUUUUCUCAUAUCAACUGACAUAAAGAGUAAAGCUAUAAUAUUGUCUAUUCUGCCCCGAGAUUGCUAAUUAGAACGAAAUCGAUAGUCAACGUUGACAAGAACUCAAAAACAGGAACAACAUUGGAACUACUCAGUUGCGCCCUAACAGUAUAACUUUGCAACGAGUACCUUUUCUCGUUCAAUCGAACAAAGAGUAAAAGCUAAUUAUAUUGUUCUAUUAUGCCCCGAGAUUGUUAAUUUAGAACGAAUCGAUGUCAACGUUGAAAAGAACCAAAACCGGAACAACAUUAGACUACUCAGUUGCGCAUAAACAGUAUAACUUUACAACGAGUACUUUUUCUCAUUCAAUCGAACAAAGAGUAAAAGCUAAUUAUAUUGGUCUAUUAUGCCCCGAGCGUGUUAAUUUAGAACGAAUCGAUGUCAAU